rnacentral:rRNA from 1 species
UACGUAGGGUGCAAGCGUUAAUCGGAAUUACUGGGCGUAAAGCGUGCGCAGGCGGUGAUGUAAGACAGAUGUGAAAGCCCCGGGCUCAACCUGGGAACUGCAUUUGGGACUGCAAGGCUGGAGUACGGAAGAGGCGAGUGGAAUUCCCGGUGUAGCGGUGAAAUGCGCAGAUAUCGGGAGGAACACCAAUGGCGAAGGCAGCUCGCUGGGACGGUACUGACGCUGAGACGCGAAAGCGUGGGAGGCAACAGG